rnacentral:rRNA from 1 species
GAGUUUGAUCGUGGCUCAGAUUGAACGCUGGCGGCAUGCCUUACACAUGCAAGUCGAACGGCAGCAUGAUCUAGCUUGCUAGAUUGAUGGCGAGUGGCGAACGGGUGAGUAAUACAUCGGAACGUGCCCUGUAGUGGGGGAUAACUAGUCGAAAGAUUAGCUAAUACCGCAUACGACCUGAGGGUGAAAGUGGGGGACCGCAAGGCCUCAUGCUAUAGGAGCGGCCGAUGUCUGAUUAGCUAGUUGUGGGUAAAGGCCACCAAGGCGACGAUCAGUAGCUGG